UACGAAGGGGGCUAGCGUUGUUCGGAAUCACUGGGCGUAAAGCGCGUGUAGGCGGCUUUGCAAGUCGGGUGUGAAAGCCCCGGGCUCAACCUGGGAAUUGCAUUCGAUACUGGAUAGCUAGAGUUCGGCAGAGGGAAGCGGAAUUUCCGGUGUAGCGGUGAAAUGCGUAGAUAUCGGAAGGAACAUCAGUGGCGAAAGCGGCUUCCUGGACCAGAACUGACGAUCAGGCUCGAAAGCGUGGGGAGCAAACAGG
rnacentral:rRNA from 1 species